rnacentral:lncRNA from 1 species
CGGGCGUCCGCAGAUUUCAUUUAAUUACGAGAAAACUUUCCGAACGGAACUCGGCGCUUUUAUCUCGGCGAGCGCGUCGGAAACAAAGGGGAGUAAACAGGCGGGAAACGCACAGCGAGGAAACGCCGGUUCAGCGCCGCGCGCUGCUAAUCAGCCGCACAGACACGCGCCUUGAGCACGGAACGUGCCUCGCGACGCUGUGAUCGGCAGGCAGGGGAGCGCGUUCCCGCGGAGCUCGCGGUCCUCCUCCAGCGGCGGGUCACUCUUUGGUGGGCCUGUCGUCUCGUCAUUAGGCUGCAGCGGAGGCGCGCGGAGGCGGGCGGGGCAGAGGCACCCCAGGACUGCCUAGAGCGGGCCGCGCCUCCCCCGCCCCCGGUGGGACACGCCGGGCAUGGCGCCUGCAGGGGUCAUGCUGUUAAGUUCCCUCAGUCCUGUCAAGGCUGCCAGUCGACUCUCAGCAGAACCCCAGGAAUGAUCCCCGCGACAACAGGAGCCAAAGGAAAUGCAAAGAUGCGCCAUCACGACAUCAACUGUGAUUCAACUCAGAGCAUCACAUCUUCACGCUAAAACUGUUUCUUAUCAGCUCUGAUAAGUGGCACAGCAUUCAUGAGUAAUUUUCCAUAAUCACUUGUGUGCAUAUGGAUGCUGCUAUGUCAAUUGUUCCCAGUUUCUCAUCUGUCAAUCAGGAGCCACAGAGGAAACUGAGGAGCUGCCACUCAGGGGCCACUGGCUCUGUGUGCACUGACACCCUGGAGAUGGAUAUUUGAUUUGUUGAUGAUGGACUCCCCCCCCCCACAAUAUCUACAAUCGCCUGUCUUGAGUGGGCCCGCUGCAAGCUGAGGCCCAACCCGGCAGCACAGGGCGCAGGGCUGGAGGGGGAGGGGACACACCCCGGACGGGACGCCAGUCGGGCGCAGGGCACCCCAGGCAGGACUCGAGCCCCAGACCCACCACAGAGCAGGCCCCAGCACAAUCCGCUGUGCCAUCACGUCCCCCCCGUUGUUGGACCACUUCUUGUGUUAUUAGUUUGCAUGUUCUCCCCGUGUUCAUGCAGGUUCCCCUCCGCAGCC